ACCGACCGUCGAUGCGUCGAACCGUCCUGGUCGGGUGUGAUUUGACAUAUAUCUCACCCGACUGGGACGGUUCGACGCAUCGACGGUCGGCAUUA
rnacentral:pre_miRNA from 1 species